rnacentral:rRNA from 1 species
AUACGGAGGGUGCAAGCGUUACUCGGAAUCACUGGGCGUAAAGCGCGCGCAGGCGGCUUGAUAAGUUGGAUGUGAAAGCCUACGGCUCAACCGUAGAACUGCAUCCAAAACUGUCAAGCUAGAGUCUGGGAGGGGAAGAUGGAAUUAGUUGUGUAGGGGUAAAAUCCGUAGAGAUAACUAGGAAUACCAAAAGCGAAGGCGAUCUUCUGGAACAGUACUGACGCUGAGGCGCGAAAGCGUGGGGAGUAAACAGGAUUAGAAACCCGAGUAGUCC